GACGAACGCUGGCGGCGUGCUUAACACAUGCAAGUCGAACGAAGAGCGAUGUACGCUUGCUUCUAUCAAUCUUAGUGGCGAACGGGUGAGUAACGCGUAAUCAACCUGCCCUUCAGAGGGGGACAACAGUUGGAAACGACUGCUAAUACCGCAUACGAUCUAAUCUCGGCAUCGAGGAUAGAUGAAAGGUGGCCUCUACAUGUAAGCUAUCACUGAAGGAGGGGAUUGCGUCUGAUUAGCUAGUUGGAGGGGUAACGGCCCACCAAGGCGAUGAUCAGUAGCCGGUCUGAGAGGAUGAACGGCCACAUUGGGACUGAGACACGGCCCAGACUCCUACGGGAGGCAGCAGUGGGGAAUCUUCCGCAAUGGACGAAAGUCUGACGGAGCAACGCCGCGUGAGCGAUGACGGCCUUCGGGUUGUAAAGCUCUGUUAAUCGGGACGAAAGGCCUUCUUGCGAAUAGUGAGAAGGAUUGACGGUACCGGAAGAGAAAGCCACGGCUAACUACGUG
rnacentral:rRNA from 1 species